UUUCAUGGCUAAGUUUUUCCUUUGUACUUGACUUGAAAGUUUUUUAAACCUGAGCUCUGUGUCUGGGUGUUCCUACAUGUCCUGAAGGAAGGAAGGAAAAAACAUGGAAAAAAUGAGGUGUUAUGAUGGAUAUUAGUUUCCUUUUUUUGUUUUUUAUCAUAUAAAAUCUUUUUGACUGUUUAGGGAAUUUAUGCUUCACUGUUAAACAUUUCUCAAGCUGUGAAGUCACUCUGCUAUAAGCAUCACAAAAUGUAAUUAUUUGUUACUUUUUUUUAAGUAUAUUGAUUGGUAAAGCAUGGAGCUGAUUCUGAGUGUUUUACGGUUUGAUUUGUGGACACAAAUAUAAAAGUUCUUCUUUUUGUUUUACAGUUUUAGAAGUUUUAUAGCCUAAAACUAUAAACUUUCUUGCCUUAAAUUAGCUUCUUUGUGUCAUAUUUCAUCUGGAAAACUAAACCUGUGUGUUAUUCUCAUUAAAUAUAUCCUCUGAAACUUGACUCUGAGACCGGCUGCCUUGUUUUUGGGGUGUGUUUACCCGCUGGUGUUGGCUGCGAAGCUGCUGCCGCAGCAAAUUCUGUUAGACAGAUUCUCUGGGAAAGGAAUUGAAGUGUUAACUCCCCAAGGAUAUUUAGUUAUGAACCCCGUAAAGGAGCUUAUCGCAGGCGUCAGUGGCCACAUUUGACCCCAACCCCAAAAUCGUGAAGAACAGAAACCGUAAACAUGUCUGA